AUGUUCAAGAUUAAUGAUAACAUAUUCUCUUUCAUAAAAAAUUUCAUGAAUGAAGAGAUCAUAAGAAUGGGUAGGAGUCUGGAAAAAUUUACCCUUGGAAAGACAGUAGGAAACAGGAAUCCUAACAUAUCACUGCUAGGAAAAGCACAAGAGUCUGAAUUUACCAUGGACAACUUGAUCACCCUCAGAUGGGAUGUGUUUAGUGCAGGAACAGAGACAACAAGCAUCACCCUGAUAUAUGGACUCUUGCUCCUGCUGAAGUACCAAGAGAUCACAGGAAGAGAUUAAACAUGUGGUUGGCAGAAACUGGAGCCCCCUGCAUGCAGGACAGGAGCCGCAUGCCCUACAUGGAUGCUGUGGUGCAUGAGAUACAUUGACCUGGUCCCCACCAACCUGCCCCACAAAGCAACUCAGGACAUUAAAUUCAGAGACUAUCUUAUUCCCAAGGUGAGAGGUAUUUCAUCUAUACUGCUCUUUCAUAAUCUUAGGUUAUCAGCUAUCACAAUGGUGGAAUAAUAGAUUGCCUGUCUACAGGUGUUGCACAGUUAUAACUCAGGCAUUUCACCCUCUGACCACAUUCUAGUUUGCUGACACAGUUGAAUAAAUUAAAUACUACUUAGAAAGUAUUUUCA
rnacentral:lncRNA from 1 species